AUUGAACGCUGGCGGCAUGCCUUACACAUGCAAGUCGAACGGUAACGCGGGGCAACCUGGCGACGAGUGGCGAACGGGUGAGUAAUGCAUCGGAACGUGCCCAGAAGUGGGGGAUAGCCCGGCGAAAGCCGGAUUAAUACCGCAUGAGACCUGAGGGUGAAAGCGGGGGAUCGCAAGACCUCGCGCUUUUGGAGCGGCCGAUGUCAGAUUAGCUAGUUGGUGGGGUAAAGGCCUACCAAAGCGACGAUCUGUAGCUGGUCUGAGAGGACGACCAGCCACACUGGGACUGAGACACGGCCCAGACUCCUACGGGAGGCAGCAGUGGGGAAUUUUGGACAAUGGGCGCAAGCCUGAUCCAGCCAUGCCGCGUGCGGGAAGAAGGCCUUCGGGUUGUAAACCGCUUUUGUCAGGGAAGAAACGCUCUGGGCUAAUACCCUGGGGUAAUGACGGUACCUGAAGAAUAAGCACCGGCUAACUACGUG
rnacentral:rRNA from 1 species